CAAACGGGUGGGCCCUCGAAAUCCUCCGGCGGGGGGAUUCAGUCGGGAGGGGCCGGGGCGACGUGCGGCCGCACCGUCGGACCCUCUUCGGGGCCGGGCCGCCGUCGCGGUCCCUGCUCCGCCCGACGCAUUUCCUCCCGCGCUUGGACGCCGCAUCCGGUUGGGUAGCUGCGCGAGUCGGCCAUGAGGGCGGGCUCCGGAAGGUGGCCGGCGGCGCCGCAUCCGCGGCGCUGCCGGUUGUUAGCCUGCUCGCCUGUGGCGCGACACCCGACCGAGGUCGAAUCGUUCCCGUGCGGGAACUGGCCGUCCCCUUCCUGUGGAGCGGCGGCGCCGGAAGGUGCUUCGCGGGCGCGCCUCCUCACCCCUCGUGGUGUGUGGCGCCCUGCGUUCCCUGUUGGCCGGUGGCCGCCGCGGGGGUGCGCACGGCUGGCGGCGAGUGAGUCGGUCACCCACCCGACCCGUCUUGAAACACGGACCAAGGAGUCUAACAUGUGCGCGAGUCACGGGGUCUUGUUCAGGCCCAGGGGCGCAAUGAAAGUGAAGGCCGGCCCCGCGCCGGCCGUGCCGGGAUCCCCCGCCCUUCGCGGCGGGGGGGCACCGGCGAUCCGUCCUGUCCGAUUUAUCGGUUGGCUGGAGUCGGAGCGCACACGUUGGGACCCGAAAGAUGGUGAACUAUGCCUGGGCAGGACGAAGCCAGAGGAAACUCUGGUGGAGGUCCGUAGCGGUUCUGACGUGCAAAU
rnacentral:rRNA from 1 species